AGCAGCAUGGCGCAGAUGGAAGCGCGCGGGGCCCAUAGGCGAGACGUUUACGUAAGCUCAAACCCCGAGGUCACUCGAUCGAAACGAGUUGCUGCUA